GACGUAGGGCGCGAGCGUUGUCCGGAUUUAUUGGGCGUAAAGAGCUCGUAGGCGGCUUGUUGCGUCGACCGUGAAAACCCGUGGCUUAACUGCGGGCUUGCGGUCGAUACGGGCGGGCUGGAGUUCGGUAGGGGAGACUGGAAUUCCUGGUGUAGCGGUGAAAUGCGCAGAUAUCAGGAGGAACACCGGUGGCGAAGGCGGAUCUCUGGGCCGAUACUGACGCUGAGGAGCGAAAGCGUGGGGAGCGAACAGG
rnacentral:rRNA from 1 species